rnacentral:rRNA from 1 species
AACGAACGCUGGCGGCAUGCCUAACACAUGCAAGUCGAACGAGACCUUCGGGUCUAGUGGCGCACGGGUGCGUAACGCGUGGGAAUCUACCCUUGGGUUCGGAAUAACUCAGAGAAAUUUGAGCUAAUACCGGAUGAUGACGUAAGUCCAAAGAUUUAUCGCCCAAGAAUGAGCCCGCGUAGGAUUAGCUAGUUGGUGGGGUAAAGGCCCACCAAGGCGACGAUCCUUAGCUGGUCUGAGAGGAUGAUCAGCCACACUGGGACUGAGACACGGCCCAGACUCCUACGGGAGGCAGCAGUGGGGAAUAUUGGACAAUGGGCGAAAGCCUGAUCCAGCAAUGCCGCGUGAGUGAUGAAGGCCUUAGGGUUGUAAAGCUCUUUUACCCGGGAUGAUAAUGACAGUACCGGGAGAAUAAGCUCCGGCUAACUCCGUGCCAGCAGCCGCAGUAAUACGGAGGGAGCUAGCGUUGUUCGGAAUUACUGGGCGUAAAGCGCACGUAGGCGGCUUUGUAAGUAAGAGGUGAAAGCCUGGUGCUCAACACCAGAACUGCCUUUUAAACUGCAUCGCUUGAAUCCAAGAGAGGUGAGUGGAAUUCCGAGU